GAUAAGAAAUCUGCUAUGUGUGACAAUGAUGACAGGUCAAGUUAUACAGCAAGUACAUGUAGAACAACCAUUAGGAAGAGAAGAUUGCAAGUUAAAAGGAAUCUUUUUGAAGACAAAAAAGGUAAAAGUAAUAAAGGGAUUCUACUAGAACUUGGACAAAUUGACAAAAUGAAUAUGGUCCAUCAAUAUAUGUAUUAGAUUCAAGUAAAGUGAUGGCAGAUGUUCAAAAACCUAGAACAGAGAUGGACUUUUGCAAAGAUCUGUUAGGUGAUGAGAAUAGAGAAAUAAUAGAUGUCAUCAAAUACCAAACUCUUCUUGGAAAAUAUCCAGGCAACAGAUCGUUUAAAUCUUCAUUUGAUAUUGCUAUGGCUAGGUUACAAACUGCAAUAUCAAAGGAACA